GGGGGUGUAGCUUAGUGGUAAAGCAUUCACCUAGGACCUGGGUUUAAUCCCUAGCACCAUCC
rnacentral:tRNA from 1 species